GACGAACGCUGGCGGCGUGCUUAACACAUGCAAGUCGAACGGAAAGGCCCUGCUUUUGUGGGGUGCUCGAGUGGCGAACGGGUGAGUAACACGUGAGUAACCUGCCCUUGACUUUGGGAUAACUUCAGGAAACUGGGGCUAAUACCUGAUAGGAGCUCCUGCUGCAUGGUGGGGGUUGGAAAGUUUCGGCGGUUGGGGAAGGACUCGCGGCUUAUCAGCUUGGUGGUGGGGUAGUGGCUUACCAAGGCUUUGACGGGUAGCCGGCCUGAGAGGGUGACCGGCCACAGUGGGACUGGGAUACGGCCCAGACUCAUACGGGAGGCAGCAGUGGGGGAUAUUGCACAAUGGGCGGAAGCCGGAUGCAGCAACGCCGCGUGCGGGAUGACGGCCUUCGGGUUGUAAACCGCUUUCGCCUGUGACGAAGCGUGAGUGACGGUAAUGGGUAAAGAAGCAACGGCUAACUACGUG
rnacentral:rRNA from 1 species